AACGAACGCUGGCGGCGUGCCUAACACAUGCAAGUCGGGGGAGAAAAGGGGCUUCGGCUCCCGAGUAAACCGGCGCACGGGUGAGUAACACGUAGGUAACGUACCCUUGAGUCUGGGAUAACCAGUCGAAAGAUUGGCUAAUACCAGAUACGACCCUGGAGGCUUCGGUCUCUAAGGUGAAAGAUGGCCUCUGCAUGCAAGCUAUCACUCAUGGAUCGGCCUGCGCACCAUUAGCUAGUUGGUGAGGUAACGGCUCACCAAGGCUGAGAUGGUUAGCUGGUCUGAGAGGAUGGCCAGCCACACUGGGACUGAGACACGGCCCAGACUCCUACGGGAGGCAGCAGUGGGGAAUAUUGCGCAAUGGGCGAAAGCCUGACGCAGCGACGCCGCGUGGGUGAUGAAGGCCUUC
rnacentral:rRNA from 1 species